GACAGAGGGUGCAAACGUUGCUCGGAAUUACUGGGCGUAAAGCGCGUGUAGGCGGGCCGGAAAGUCGGGCGUGAAAGCCCUGGGCUCAACCCAGGAACUGCACUCGAAACUUCCGGUCUAGAGUGGUGGAGAGGGAAGUGGAAUUCCUGGUGUAGAGGUGAAAUUCGUAGAUAUCCGGAGGAACACCAGUGGCGAAGGCGACUUUCUGGCCUGUUCUUGACGCUGAGGCGCGAAAGCUAGGGGAGCAAACGGG
rnacentral:rRNA from 1 species